rfam:Dipodomys ordii contig_13622, whole genome shotgun sequence.
GGGAAGGUGGCUCAGUGGUAGAGUGCUUGCCUCACAUUCAUGAGGCCUUGGGUUCGAUUCCUCAGCACCCCA